rnacentral:rRNA from 1 species
UACGUAGGGGGCAAGCGUUGUCCGGAAUCAUUGGGCGUAAAGAGCGUGUAGGCGGCCCGAUAAGUCCGCUGUGAAAGUCCGGGGCUCAACCCUGGGAUGCCGGUGGAUACUGUCGGGCUCGAGUCCGGAAGAGGAGUGUGGAAUUCCUGGUGUAGCGGUGAAAUGCGCAGAUAUCAGGAGGGACACCAAUGGCGAAGGCAGCACUCUGGGACGUGACUGACGCUGAGACGCGAAAGCGUGGGGAGCAAACAGG